ensembl:lncRNA
GCGUGAGGACGCACGGUGGUCAAUUAGAAGCCCCCCUCGGGAGGGAUUACUGACCGGGGGAAAGGCUUUGAACAGACGACCACUGCUGGGUCACCUGCGAGCCCCCCGCCCCCCCAACCACCUCCCGCCGCCACACGUGUUGGCUCCACUGACGCAUAAUUCCACUCAUCUCACGCGCCAUACCUGCCCACCAGACACUACAUCAAAGCAGUGGUCGGUAACGUCAAAACAACAUUACCGUGCUAACUGUAUACGCGCUUGGGGACGUGGCACGUUUUCCCAGGUGCAAUCCGACACCGGUGAAACUGACUCACUUACUUCCCCUGAAAUGAUUUGCUGAAGAGGAUCACUUCGUCCAGUGAAAGUACAAUGGGAAGCCACAAAACAUUCCAAAGAGACGUGCUCAUUGAACCAUUAUUUGAAUGUAAUGCGAAACUAACACCUUCAACAUUAAAUAUAGGUAUUCAUUUCCUACCAAAGCCAUUAAGCUUAGUCAGUUGUUCAGUUUUCACCUCCACAAGUUAGAUAAGGCAGUGAAGUAACAUUUCUC